CAUUCAUCUACAUUUGGAGUGCCCAGCCUGGAGUUGGAAUACACCUACCAGAAUUUAAAGGAGGCACCCCCACCAUUAAGAGACACAUUGCACUUGAAGAGAGCCAGGAUUUUGGCUCCUGAACACGUGAGUGGUUCUUAAAUUCCCUUUUUAGUGUCUAUAGAAAUACUACACUAUAUAUUGCUCCUUUCCGCUUUUUGAC